rnacentral:rRNA from 1 species
UACAGAGGUCUCAAGCGUUGUUCGGAUUCAUUGGGCGUAAAGGGCGCGUAGGCGGCGCGGUAAGUCGGAUGUGAAAUCUCGGAGCUUAACUCCGAAACUGCAUUCGAUACUGCCGUGCUUGAGGACUGGAGAGGAGACUGGAAUUUACGGUGUAGCGGUGAAAUGCGUAGAUAUCGUAAGGAAGACCAGUGGCGAAGGCGGGUCUCUGGGCUGACCUUGACGCUGAGGCGCGAAGGCGUGGGGAGCGAACGGG